UACGAAGGGGGCUAGCGUUGCUCGGAAUCACUGGGCGUAAAGCGCACGUAGGCGGAUUGUUAAGUCAGGGGUGAAAUCCUGGAGCUCAACUCCAGAACUGCCUUUGAUACUGACGGUCUUGAGUUCGGGAGAGGUGAGUGGAACUGCGAGUGUAGAGGUGAAAUUCGUAGAUAUUCGCAAGAACACCAGUGGCGAAGGCGGCUCACUGGCCCGAUACUGACGCUGAGGUGCGAAAGCGUGGGAGCAAACAGGG
rnacentral:rRNA from 1 species